UUAAGCGACUAAGCGUACACGGUGGAUGCCCUGGCAGUCAGAGGCGAUGAAGGACGUGCUAAUCUGCGAAAAGCGUCGGUAAGGUGAUAUGAACCGUUACAGCCGGCGAUGUCCGAAUGGGGAAACCCAGUGUGAUUCGUCACACUAUCGUUAACUGAAUACAUAGGUUAACGAGGCGAACCGGGGGAACUGAAACAUCUAAGUACCCCGAGGAAAAGAAAUCAACCGAGAUUCCCCCAGUAGCGGCGAGCGAACGGGGAGCAGCCCAGAGUCUGAAUCAGCUUGUGUGUUAGUGGAACGGUCUGGAAAGUCCGACGGUACAGGGUGAUAGUCCCGUACACCAAAAUGCACAGGCUGUGAACUCGAAGAGUAGGGCGGGACACGUGGUAUCCUGUCUGAAUAUGGGGGGACCAUCCUCCAAGGCUAAAUACUCCUGACUGACCGAUAGUGAACCAGUACCGUGAGGGAAAGGCGAAAAGAACCCCGGCGAGGGGAGUGAAAAAGAACCUGAAACCGUGUACGUACAAGCAGUGGGAGCACCUUCGGGUGUGACUGCGUACCUUUUGUAUAAUGGGUCAGCGACUUAUAUUCUGUAGCAAGGUUAACCGUAUAGGGGAGCCGCAGGGAAACCGAGUCUUAACUGGGCGUUAAGUUGCAGGGUAUAGACCCGAAACCCGGUGAUCUAGCCAUGGGCAGGUUGAAGGUUGGGUAACACUAACUGGAGGACCGAACCGACUAAUGUUGAAAAAUUAGCGGAUGACUUGUGGCUGGGGGUGAAAGGCCAAUCAAACCGGGAGAUAGCUGGUUCUCCCCGAAAGCUAUUUAGGUAGCGCCUCGUGAACUCAUCUUCGGGGGUAGAGCACUGUUUCGGCUAGGGGGUCAUCCCGACUUACCAACCCGAUGCAAACUACGAAUACCGAAGAAUGUUAUCACGGGAGACACACGGCGGGUGCUAACGUCCGUCGUGAAGAGGGAAACAACCCAGACCGCCAGCUAAGGUCCCAAAGUCAUGGUUAAGUGGGAAACGAUGUGGGAAGGCACAGACAGCCAGGAUGUUGGCUUAGAAGCAGCCAUCAUUUAAAGAAAGCGUAAUAGCUCACUGGUCGAGUCGGCCUGCGCGGAAGAUGUAACGGGGCUAAACCAUGCACCGAAGCUGCGGCAGCGACACUAUGUGUUGUUGGGUAGGGGAGCGUUCUGUAAGCCUGCGAAGGUGACCUGUGAGGGUUGCUGGAGGUAUCAGAAGUGCGAAUGCUGACAUAAGUAACGAUAAAGCGGGUGAAAAGCCCGCUCGCCGGAAGACCAAGGGUUCCUGUCCAACGUUAAUCGGGGCAGGGUGAGUCGACCCCUAAGGCGAGGCCGAAAGGCGUAGUCGAUGGGAAACAGGUUAAUAUUCCUGUACUUGGUGUUACUGCGAAGGGGGGACGGAGAAGGCUAUGUUAGCCGGGCGACGGUUGUCCCGGUUUAAGCAUGUAGGCUGGUUAUCCAGGCAAAUCCGGAUAAUCAAGGCUGAGGUGUGAUGACGAGGCACUACGGUGCUGAAGUAACAAAUGCCCUGCUUCCAGGAAAAGCCUCUAAGCAUCAGGUAACAUUAAAUCGUACCCCAAACCGACACAGGUGGUCAGGUAGAGAAUACCAAGGCGCUUGAGAGAACUCGGGUGAAGGAACUAGGCAAAAUGGUGCCGUAACUUCGGGAGAAGGCACGCUGGUGUGUAGGUGAAGUCCCUGCGGAUGGAGCUGAGACCAGUCGAAGAUACCAGCUGGCUGCAACUGUUUAUUAAAAACACAGCACUGUGCAAACACGAAAGUGGACGUAUACGGUGUGACGCCUGCCCGGUGCCGGAAGGUUAAUUGAUGGGGUUAUCCGUAAGGAGAAGCUCUUGAUCGAAGCCCCGGUAAACGGCGGCCGUAACUAUAACGGUCCUAAGGUAGCGAAAUUCCUUGUCGGGUAAGUUCCGACCUGCACGAAUGGCGUAAUGAUGGCCAGGCUGUCUCCACCCGAGACUCAGUGAAAUUGAACUCGCUGUGAAGAUGCAGUGUACCCGCGGCAAGACGGAAAGACCCCGUGAACCUUUACUAUAGCUUGACACUGAACAUUGAGCCUUGAUGUGUAGGAUAGGUGGGAGGCUUUGAAGCGUGGACGCCAGUCUGCGUGGAGCCAACCUUGAAAUACCACCCUUUAAUGUUUGAUGUUCUAACGUUGGCCCCUUACCGGGGUUGCGGACAGUGUCUGGUGGGUAGUUUGACUGGGGCGGUCUCCUCCCAAAGCGUAACGGAGGAGCACGAAGGUUAGCUAAUCCUGGUCGGACAUCAGGAGGUUAGUGCAAUGGCAUAAGCUAGCUUGACUGCGAGCGUGACGGCGCGAGCAGGUGCGAAAGCAGGUCAUAGUGAUCCGGUGGUUCUGAAUGGAAGGGCCAUCGCUCAACGGAUAAAAGGUACUCCGGGGAUAACAGGCUGAUACCGCCCAAGAGUUCAUAUCGACGGCGGUGUUUGGCACCUCGAUGUCGGCUCAUCACAUCCUGGGGCUGAAGUAGGUCCCAAGGGUAUGGCUGUUCGCCAUUUAAAGUGGUACGCGAGCUGGGUUUAGAACGUCGUGAGACAGUUCGGUCCCUAUCUGCCGUGGGCGCUGGAGAAUUGAGGGGGGCUGCUCCUAGUACGAGAGGACCGGAGUGGACGCAUCACUGGUGUUCGGGUUGUCAUGCCAAUGGCACUGCCCGGUAGCUAAAUGCGGAAGAGAUAAGUGCUGAAAGCAUCUAAGCACGAAACUUGCCCCGAGAUGAGUUCUCCCUGAGACUUUAAGUCUCCUGAAGGAACGUUGAAGACGACGACGUUGAUAGGCCGGGUGUGUAAGCGCAGCGAUGCGUUGAGCUAACCGGUACUAAUGAACCGUGAGGCUUAACCUU
rnacentral:rRNA from 1 species